CCCCCCCCCCCCCCCCCCCCCCGGCCGCGCGCCGCCAUCUAGCACCACCAUCGUCGCCGCUCCCUCGAUGGUUGGAGCUCCCUUCCCACAGCCCGAUCUAGAUGCCCCUCCUGUCAUAUCUGAGCACGACGCUCUGCCCGUCCACAAUCAGCCUCCUCAAUCUCCAACCUGUUCUACAUCCCCUCUCCGCCCGUCCACAAUCAGCCUCCUCAAUCUCCAACCUCCUGCAGCCGUCCUUCUCUGAUUUGGAUCAAAGUAGAGCCAUCGAUGGAGGCAGGGGAGCAGCAGAUGGAGCAAAAGAAAUAAAGAAUCAGUUGCUCCCGCUGCUACCUCCCAGUCGCGUCCCACCCCGUUAGGAACGCUGCCCGGCUCCCCUGCUCCUAUCGCCCCACCUUUUCCUAGCCAAUAAUCAAGGGGUGCAGUAGAGGAGCACCGGUGUAGAAUGCAUCUGCAGUGGUGCGGGUUGGGGACCGAGUGACGGAUUCAGGUCAAGGGGGUUUUCGGCUAGCGUAGAAGCAGGCUGCAUAAGAAUGCAAUAAUUUGAUUAAGCAAGACAGGCGUCUGGGAAACAAGCACGGUGAUGGCUUGCUCAACUAGAAGUUCUACAAUAAAUGGAUGGCUAUUUUCUCCUGGAAUGCAGAUGGAUGUCUGAUUGAGGAGAUGAAUCAUGCAUCCUGCUAUGAUAUGACAGAGCAGUACCGUGAGUACAUAGGGAAGCAGCUCAACAACCGGCAUACUACAAUUUCAAUUUCUACAAUGCAGAUGAAUGCUAUGCAUUUUCCGGUGUAUGAGUUCUUUGUGAUUUCCUCCCAUAUUUUUGAUCCAGACUUUCAUGAUACACACACAUACUAUAAACUUUAGUACUACUAAUUGCUAGCUUUAUUUGGUCAUAUCUGAUUCUCUGUUGUUAAUCCUCUCCUACAUUGCCAAGCUCAGUUUGAUUAUAUGUGGAGGUGUGUUUUAUUCUCUGAUGAUAUUUCCAUAUUUUUGAAUAUAUGGCAAGCACAACUCUUGGUGUUAGCGCUUAUUCCUUUUAUUUUAGAUGGUUUACUACGGUACUUGAGAGUCAUUUAUUGAUUUAUUUUGGAUGUUGAAUUGUACCAUGCUCCAGGAAGUUGAUAUCUGACUGUCGAGUUUGUGCCUAAUUUAGAUUGACCAUGGUAUGGACCAAUCCAAGCUCCGUCAGGAUGUAGACAGUGUCCGUAAAUUCCUUCUGGACCAGUACAUCAAUAAAAAAACAUGUCAAUGUACAACACUCCUACAUUAACCAUUCUCAACAAAGUCAUGCCUGUAUUAUGAGAAAUCAGACCAACGUUGGUGGGCAAGAAGUUUCAGUUUUCUUUUAUAAUUUUAUUGAUGAUUGAUUAGUUAUUGGUUAUGCUCUCGAAGAAGUUGCCGAUGGAGAUAGCUGGGGUGUCAUCGUCCUUGCUUGAUCUGGGCAUAUGUGCUGGCACUUACAGAUUCCAUCGCGUAGAGAAAUGGCACUGCUUGUCUGCUACCUAUGACUCGUUUAUGUGCUGGCCAACUUUCAUUUUCAUGCCAAGCAGGGUUGAUUAUCAGAGGGCUAGGAAAGAUGGAGCAUGAGCGGGAGCAUCGACUACGAUGAGUUCAUCAGGGCGACAGUGUACAUCAACAAGCUGUAGCAGGAGGAGCACCUGCCGGCUGCCUUUGUCUACGUCGACAAGGACGACAGCAGGUGCAUCACCGUAGAAAAGGUGGAAGAGGCUUGCCAAGAGUACAACAUACAUGCUGUAUCAACACAUCAUCAGGGACGUCAACAAUGGCAAUAUGCCAUUGUCGAAUCGACGAUGAGGAGUUUGUGGUGAUGGUGGAGAAGGGGAUCACCAGAGGCACAUCUCCGACGUUAUCAUUCUCCAUGGAGUAGACGGCCUCAGUUAGCAUCAUGGCUCCUCCACCAGUCGAUCACCCUUGUGCCAAUUGCAUAUAAUUAAAGAAGAUUAAUUAUACUCUUUAAUUAUACUGUACUUGUAUACAACCUAGCUCCCCACAUUAUUUAUUUACUUUGCAAGAUAGAUGUGGUACCAGUAAGAACUCAUGUUGCUUUAGAUACAGAAUAUAUCUUUUGACUGAAUUUUCAUAUACAGUACUCGGUCUUUGUUUGUGUUGUGCUAUGGAUGAUAUCAACAUUUUUAACACAAUUCCUUAUUCAUGUUGUUUGUAUAAACUGACGGAGAUAAGAAAAUGUUUGCAUCAUCUAUGUGAUUUGCAUCCUAUGAUAUUUAAUUUGACAUCGUUUUAAGGUGUUGUUAUUUUGUACUACUACUGGAUUAGUAUGAUUGCAUGAAAAACUGAAUUUUCUUUCUGGUGGAUUUUUUUAAUUCAUUGAGACAAGGUCAUCAAAAUCAUGACGAUCGAUAGAUAUGAGGUAGUCAGGAAUAUGAAUAUGUGAUUCUUACCGGCGCCAGCUCUGGCCAUAUAGGUUUAGAACCAAGCACGAAGGUUAAUCCAAAUAUGCGGGGAAGAAUACAAAUGCGGAAAUGCAUAGUCGCGGAAGAUGACCAUACAGAGACAAUAUUAUGCAUGAAGGUUUGGAUUGUUUCACACCGAGUUAAAUUGAAGAGGCAAAAAUACUGUAUGAAAAUUCUAUAAAUGCGGAAAUAUGUUUGACUUGAAUGAAACUGGUCCCCCUUAUAUUCUGAAAUGUCUACAUGUGUUCACACAAACUGUGGUUGAAGAUGAAAGGCGCCAAGGAUGCACAAUGGCGGGUGCGGGAAGGCAUCAGAAGAGCUCGGGUAGAUAGCCGUGAGCGAGGUGCGUCUCGACACAAAAGGGCAAGGUGAUGAUGCUAGAAGGAGCCGGAAUAGUGCGAAGGUCUGCCAACCGAACGCAUGGUGCAGGACUGGAGGUGGACGCUAUUUCAACUCAGGUCCUACUUAAACUAAAUAUCAUUUUACAUGGCCAUUGGUGUUUUUCCCGUUGCAACGCACGGGUCCUUUUCCUAGUUUACAUUAACUGCUACAGUCCCACGCCCCUACGCCUAGCGGUAAUCACGCGAAGUGGACGUUGGAUUGACUGGUCAUCAUGACGAACCGCCGUGCACGCAGCCUUCUCCUGCCACGUGUCCGUGCACUGUUUGGGGCCUAACCCAACGUGCCCCGUGACACGUAUGGCUCAGGCCCGGGAGCUUAUGUCGGGGAACACAAACUAGGGUGUGUGUUUUCCCCUGUCUCGUGCACUGGCAGUAAGCCAACAAGCACAAGAACAAGAUCACAGCACCAAGGUCAGAUUGAAGCACAAGGGAUCAGUUCUUCGAAGGACCAACAUGCAGAUCAAGAGGACCAAGACUAGCCGGAGAAGCAAGAUAUCGCUAAGGGAAAAACCUGCCUUCCCGGGUA